CUUACCUUUAUCCCACCUUCCCACGUGCCCUAGACAAUCUUGACAGAUAGACCAUGCCCCUAGACCAUUCAUCCCUUUUCUUUAAUUACCAUUCAUCCCUUUUCUUUAAUUACCAUUCAUUCCACGUGCCCCGAUCCUCAAACAUUUUUGAAUUUUUUUCCUUCUCUCCAGUCUCCACCGACUCAGAUCUUUUAUCUGAGUUUCAUUCUUAUCUGACAAUCUGACCUCUCCCCAUAACAACGCCAUCGACCUCCUCAAAGCCUUCAAGGUGUUCGGCUAACAUGCUCCACGGACCUCACCAAGCCUUUGCUUCAAGUUGAGGGGAAAAACUAAGAAAGCCCCUCCUCCUCUGGACCUCCGACCCGGCCACCAGCGAUGCCACCAUCGUUCGUCAAGCUUUCACCGCUGCUGAUCUUCACAGCGUCACCGAAGUCUGCUCCCGAACCCCUUCCCAGAUCGCUGAUUCAAACGACUCGACUCUACAAACCGUUUCUGAUUUAUUUACAUUCUUACGUUUCCGGAUUGGAUACAGACGUAUCCAAACCGUUUCCAAAUCAGGAUACGCGUUUCCGAGCGUUUCCAAGCGUUUCCGACCCGUUUCCCGUUUCGAUACGGGAAACGAGGCCAUUUUGGCGUUUCUGUGCAUCAUAGCCUAGGACAAAUUAAGGGAAGAAAACUACCAAAAGUUGCGUUCUAAAUUCUUAAAAUACUUGAAAUUUCAAAUGAAAAUGUAGAGUUUAAUGGUCAAUACUGGUCGGAGAUGUCUCGUCAACAACACCCGGACAGCUGUUAUGCCAUCUCUAUCUCUCUCUUUCUCUACAUAUAUCUUGAGCUUCUUCUUUCUUCUCUCCGACGAUUCUGAAACUCUUUUGCGGGGUUGCGAAGGCAUUUGCUCUUUGCAAUUUUUGGAAGUGACAACUUAUCCCCAUAUAUGCCGCUGCGUGCGUGUGGCAGAAAGAAUGGUGUAAUGGUAAUAAAUCAUCCUCCUCUCAGCUGCCGCUAAAGGAGGAAAAAGACUUUUUUUUUCCCCGGAAAAUGUCAAUUUACCUAUAUUUGAGCUUCUCCCCAUUUACCCAAACAUUUUAUAAGAUUGUACCCAACAAAUUACAUAUUAUUUGCCAUAAUACCCAAUUAAGUUAUUUUUUUCUUA